UAAUAAUAGGAUCGUUUUCACUAACGAGCAUACAAGUUCAUUACAAGCGAAUAAAUGGUACAUUGUUAUGCAUAGUUAUAUAUCACUCAUUAAAUCAAACACAUAAUACUCGGAUCAUACUAUGGGUCAUGUACACAUGAAUAUAAGGGGAGAUGCAACUUCGAUGCAAUGCUCCAUGAUGACAGCGGUGCUCACCCGGUCGGUGGAGGCCCUAUCUCCCAUGGAUAUUGGCGAAAGCACACAUGUCACUACGAGAAUUCGGUUCAGGAGUAUCUCUAUAACCCACAGCCGGCCAACCAAAGGUGGGCGGUCAGUAUAAGUAGCUGAAAGAUCAAGAUAGUCACAGUACUACGAUGUGGUGAUUCUAAUAAGGACAUGUUGUCCUAAUAGCUAGAUUUUACGGUUUUUGAAUUUACAUUUAAAUUGGCUACCUUAUGUCGUUGAUCCCAUUGCCGUUUGUCUGUGGACAGGAGAGAAAUGAUUGAGGUUCUUGUAUACAAGGACCUGCGAUCCAUACAGCUUCGCUUGUGAUGACUGUACCUCCAAUUGGACACUUGCACGACCUAUGGUUCGUUUAAGAAGAAUGAAGUGGGGAUUUUUUCAAAAACAUUCAACUAAUUCAGUCACUUUUAUAAUUUUAUUUUCUCUUUUGGGUCGGCCUCCAUCCUCCUUUGACAUCUGACCUCCUUUUUAUGUCGGCUUCGGUAGUUUCUUCUACGGCUGGGUGAUGGCAAAAGAUUUGUAAUUGGUAUGGAGGAAUAAAUUAAGUUCAACUUUCAGGAAAGAAAUCAGAAAGAGUUUGAUGAUAU
rnacentral:lncRNA from 1 species